UCCCGACUUCGGAAGGGUUGUAUUUAUUAGAUUAAAAACCAAUGCCCCUCGGGGCUCUCUGGUGAAUCAUGAUAACUAGUCGAAUCGACAGGCCUUGUGCCGGCGAUGGCUCAUUCAAAUUUCUUCCCUAUCAACUUUCGAUGUUUGGGUCUUGUCCAAACAUGGUGGCAACGGGUAACGGAGGGUUAGGGCUCGACCCCGGAGAAGGAGCCUGAGAAACGGCUACUACAUCCAAGGAAGGCAGCAGGCGCGCAAAUUACCCAAUCCCGACACGGGGAGGUAGUGACAAUAAAUACUGAUACAGGGCUCUUUUGGGUCUUGUAAUCGGAAUGAGUACAAUUUAAAUCCCUUAACGAGGAACAAUUGGAGGGCAAGUCUGGUGCCAGCAGCCGCGGUAAUUCCAGCUCCAAUAGCGUAUAUUAAAGUUGUUGUGGUUAAAAAGCUCGUAGUUGAACCUUGGGCCUGGCUGGCCGGUCCGCCUCACCGCGUGCACUGGUCCGGCCGGGCCUUUCCCUCUGCGGAACCCCAUGCCCUUCACUGGGUGUGGCGGGGAAACAGG
rnacentral:rRNA from 1 species